GAUGAACGCUGGCGGCGUGCCUAACACAUGCAAGUCGAACGGAGUCCAGCCUUAGAGACCUUCGGGUCAAAGAGGGGAAGACUGAGUGGCGGACGGGUGAGUAACCCGUGGGCAACCUGGCUCAUAGAGGGGGAUAACAGAGAGAAAUUUCUGCUAAUACCGCAUAAGCACACACUGCCGCAUGGCAGGGUGUGAAAAGAGAAUCGCUAUGAGAUGGACCCGCGUCUGAUUAGCCAGUUGGCAGGGAAAGGGCCUACCAAAGCGACGAUCAGUAGCCGAGUUGAGAGGAUGAACGGCCACAUUGGGACUGAGACACGGCCCAAACUCCUACGGGAGGCAGCAGUGGGGGAUAGUGCAAAAUGGGGGGAACCCUGAUGCAGCGACGCCGGGUGAGUGAAGAAGUAUUGCGGGAUGUAAAGCUCUAUCAGCAGGGAAGAUAAUGACAGUACCUGAAUAAGAAGCCCCGGCUAACUACGUG
rnacentral:rRNA from 1 species